rnacentral:tRNA from 1 species
GGGCGCGUGAACCUCGUCUACUUCGCGCAGAAGCCGUCUGACUCUUAAUCAGCGGGUCCAAGGUUCGAGUCCUUGACGGCCCACCA